rnacentral:rRNA from 1 species
UACGGAGGAUGCAAGCGUUAUCCGGAUUCAUUGGGUUUAAAGGGUGCGCAGGCGGAUUGUUAAGUCAGGGGUGAAAUCCUACAGCUCAACUGUAGAACUGCCCUUGAUACUGUCAGUCUAGAGUAUAGUUGAAGUGGGCGGAAUGUGUCAUGUAGCGGUGAAAUGCUUAGAUAUGACACAGAACACCGAUCGCGAAGGCAGCUCGCUAAGCUAUAACUGACGCUCAUGCACGAAAGCGUGGGGAUCAAACAGGAUUAGAUACCCUGGUAGUCCACGCUGUAAACGAUGAUUACUCGAUGUUGGCGAUACACAGUCAGCGUCUGAGCGAAAGCAAUAAGUAAUCCACCUGGGGAGUACGAUCGCAAGAUUGAA